rnacentral:lncRNA from 1 species
GAAGUCUUUCAAGGAAGGGUUAAAGAGUCACGUGCCAAUUAGCUUUUCUCCCAAGGCAGCACUUAGAAUCACAGUGCUGAGAAGAAGUGGGAUAAUGAGAGGGUUGCUGGUUGUGAUAUCGCCUCCCUGGGACACUUCAGGAACGGUGACGAGACUAAUUGGCUGGUCUGGCGAACAACUCGAGAUGAGUCCAAAAGGAGGAGCCAGCUGCCGGCAGGAAGGGAAUGGAAAUUCACCUUCGCGCUGGCCCUUCAGCGGGGGGAGCACAGAUGGUGAAAAGCAGAACUGCUCGCGAGAGAGCAAAGGCCCUUUUUCUAAAUCAGCUGCCAAGAGGGGAACAAAGAGGAUUUGCCAGUGCCUCUGGGGAACAGCCUUUGCUCUCGCUUCAAGAUCAUCUAAGGAGUUUGCCCACAUCGCAAACGGUUGGAUUACCAACACCACCUCCCAGUCCACAGAAAGUGGAAAAUAGAGAAAGUGAAGAACAGCAAUCUCCUUAUUCAAAACGUGAUCUGGAAACUAGACUUGUCACUUUUUCUGACAUCUCAUUGGCCAAAACAGUCAUAUGGCCACACCUUGCAGCAAGGGAGUCUGGGAAGUGUAGUCUGUAGUUGGGCAUGUGCCUAGCCAACACUGGAGGAAUACUACUGCUGAAAAGAGGGGAAAUGCAUAGGAAGAGGCAACCUGCCCUAGUAGAUUUCUG